UACGAAGGGGGCUAGCGUUGCUCGGAAUCACUGGGCGUAAAGGGUGCGUAGGCGGGUCUUUAAGUCAGGGGUGAAAUCCCAGGGCUCAACCCUGGAACUGCCUUUGAUACUGACGAUCUGGAGAUCGGGAGAGGUUGGUGGAAUUCCGAGUGUAGAGGUGAAAUUCGUAGAUAUUCGGAGGAACACCAGAAGCGAAGGCGGCCAACUGGCCCGAUACUGACGCUGAGGCGCGAAAGCGUGGGGAGCAAACAGG
rnacentral:rRNA from 1 species